rnacentral:rRNA from 1 species
GAGUUUGAUCAUGGCUCAGAUUGAACGCUGGCGGCAGGCCUAACACAUGCAAGUCGAGCGGAUGAAGGAAGCUUGCUCCUGGAUUCAGCGGCGGACGGGUGAGUAAUGCCUAGGAAUCUGCCUGGUAGUGGGGGGAUAACGUCCGGAAACGGGCGCUAAUACCGCAUACGUCCUGAGGGAGAAAGUGGGGGAUCUUCGGACCUCACGCUAUCAGACGAGCCUAGGUCGGAUUAGCUAGUUGGUGGGGUAAAGGCCUACCAAGGCGACGAUCCGUAACUGGUCUGAGAGGAUGAUCAGUCACACUGGAACUGAGACACGGUCCAGACUCCUACGGGAGGCAGCAGUGGGGAAUAUUGGACAAUGGGCGAAAGCCUGAUCCAGCCAUGCCGCGUGUGUGAAGAAGGUCUUCGGAUUGUAAAGCACUUUAAGUUGGGAGGAAGGGCAGUAAGUUAAUACCUUGCUGUUUUGACGUUACCAACAGAAUAAGCACCGGCUAACUUCGUGCCAGCCGCCGCGGUAAUACC